rnacentral:rRNA from 1 species
GACCUCGGAUCAGGUAGGAAUACCCGCUGAACUUAAGCAUAUCAAUAAGCGGAGGAAAAGAAACCAACAGGGAUUGCCUCAGUAACGGCGAGUGAAGCGGCAAAAGCUCAAAUUUGAAAUCUGACUCUUCGGGUCCGAGUUGUAAUUUGCAGAGGAUGUUUCGGGUAAGAUUUAGGUCUAAGUUCCUUGGAACAGGACGUCAUAGAGGGUGAGAACCCCGUACGUGACCGUUGAUCGCACCCAUGUGAAACUCCUUCGACGAGUCGAGUUGUUUGGGAAUGCAGCUCAAAAUGGGUGGUAAAUUUCAUCUAAAGCUAAAUAUUGGCCAGAGACCGAUAGCGCACAAGUAGAGUGAUCGAAAGAGGAAAAGCACUUUGAAAAGAGAGUUAAACAGUAUGUGAAAUUGUUGAAAGGGAAGCGC